AUUGAACGCUGGCGGCAGGCCUAACACAUGCAAGUCGAGCGGAUGAAGGGAGCUUGCUCCUGGAUUCAGCGGCGGACGGGUGAGUAAUGCCUAGGAAUCUGCCUGGUAGUGGGGGAUAACGUCCGGAAACGGGCGCUAAUACCGCAUACGUCCUGAGGGAGAAAGUGGGUGAUCUUCGGACCUCACGCUAUCAGAUGAGCCUAGGUCGGAUUAGCUAGUUGGUGGGGUAAAGGCCUACCAAGGCGACGAUCCGUAACUGGUCUGAGAGGAUGAUCAGUCACACUGGAACGGAGACACGGUCCAGACUCCUACGGGAGGCAGCAGUGGGGAAUAUUGGACAAUGGGCGAAAGCCUGAUCCAGCCAUGCCGCGUGUGUGAAGAAGGUCUUCGGAUUGUAAAGCACUUUAAGUUGGGAGGAAGGGCAGUAAGUUAAUACCUUGCUGUUUUGACGUUACCAACAGAAUAAGCACCGGCUAACUUCGUG
rnacentral:rRNA from 1 species